UACGUAGGGGGCAAGCGUUGUCCGGAGUUACUGGGCGUAAAGCGCACGCAGGCGGUCUCUUAAGUUUGGAGUGACAGUUGGUGGCUUAACUGCCAAAGUGCUUCGAAAACUGAGAGACUUGAGGGCUUCAGAGGGACACGGAACUCCGGGUGGAGUGGUGAAAUGCGUAGAGAUCCGGAGGAACACCAAAGGCGAAGGCAGUGUCCUGGGGAGUACCUGACGCUCAGGUGCGAAAGCGUGGGGAGCAAACAGG
rnacentral:rRNA from 1 species